CCCGGCCCCGGCACGGGCGUCCCCUGCCCUCCCUCCCCAGCCAGCCCCCAAACCGCUGCUAACGCUUCCCCUGCCCACGCCAGGGGUGCAGCCCCCGGUCCCAAAACCCUCCAGCCACAGGCAGCCUGGCUGGCAGCACAUUUUGGGAGGUUUUCUCCUCUUUUGGGGGACAAUUGGCUCCUACUUCACAGCUGGGGGUGCUCCCCAAACAGCCAGGGGAUGCUGGGGUGUGGGAUGUGCUCGGCCCAGGGCGCUGCACCCCUCGGGUGGCAUUGCCAGGGUGGGGGGACGGGGACACCCCGCUCUGCUCUGCUGCUCCCCGCUCUCUGCACGGCACCGCUCCCUGCGCUUCCCGGGCAGGGCGCUCCGCAUCCCGGCGUCAGCAGCCGGCCCCGGCCGAGCUCCCCGGAGCGAUCCCUCCUCCCAAAAUCCAUCACCCGCCUCUCCCUGUCCGCCCCACGGGCCGCUCUCCUCUCCCGGGCCGCCCCGCCAGGACCCGGUGUCACCUUCGGGUGGCUCUGGCGGGCAGGGAUGGGGACACGGAGCGAAACGCUGGACGCAGCCGGGGCUGGACCCUGCGCUGGGGCUGCCACGGGACCCUGGCGCACCAGACGGUCCCCUGGGUGUGGCACAGUGCCCUGGACACCAUCCCGGCCGUGAGGGACCCGCAGCCCCCGCCGUGAGCCCCCCGGAGCGGCGGAGCCCCGCGGGCCGGGGAUGGAGUGUCUUUGCUUUAUGUGUUUAAUCGAAACCAAGGCGAGUAGGGCGGCCCAGGGGGCCCAGCCGUCGGGAGCCGGCACCCUCCACAAAGCGAUUCCUCGGGGAAGCCCGGCGGCCGAGCGGGACCACGGGGCAGCCGGGUCUCGGGCUUUCCCGGCAGCAGGACCACCCUGGAGGAUUUGGCCUCCCUCCUCUGGUCCCUCCGGGGUCGCUCCCCGAGUAAAACCUCUCCCGUGCGGCCCCUUUUUGGCCGCGGAGGGUCCCCGUGCUCCGGACGAGCUCCGUCCCUCGGGCAGCCCGGCCGUCCGGGCGCCCCUUUUUCCCCGGUGACGACGUGACCCCUUCCUCCUCUUCCUCCUCCUCCUCCUCCUUCUCCUCCUCCUCCUCCUCCUCGCGGCCCGGGAAAUCCGCCACGGUGUCGGCAUCCAGGCUCCCUCCGUCCCGCCAGCUCCCCCCGCGGUGCUGGAGCUGCUCUGAGCCCAGAAGCCCCUUCCCAACCCCAAACGGGCCUUGCCGCCUCGCUUCCUCCUCCCUCACACCCAGGAGACGUCAGGUCACAGCCUCCGCUUGGGAGGGGGCCGCGGGGCCGGGGGCCGGGGCAGGACCCCCCCGCCGCUGGCUGUAGGAGGGAUCCCGGCUCCUCCCGGCAUCGCUGUGAGCUCGGGGCGGGACGCUGGGGGCUCCGGUGCCCGCUUGCUGCUGGCUGCCCUCCCCAGGGGGAGCCACGGGGCGUGCAGGGGUCUUUGGGGGGUCAGGGUCCCGGCGGUGGGAGGUAAAUCCGGCCAGCUCGGGGUGAUCCCAAACCCCUCCACUGCCAUUCCCAAACUGGACACCCCUAGGAACCCACCCAAAGCCCAGCCGCAUCCUCCCGCAGCCAGCCUCGUGCUUCCUCCUCCUCCUCUUCCUCCCCGCAGAGCCGCUCGCCCCGGCCCCAGAGGGGCUCCCGGGGGUCCCCUCGCUGCUGCUUCCCCCCGGCUGCCGCUCCGCAUGCGCCCCCGGCCCCGCCGCCCCCCGCCCCCCCAUCGCUCCCCCCCUUCUCUCCCUGUCUCU